AUUGAACGCUGGCGGCAGGCCUAACACAUGCAAGUCGAACGAGUGGCGGACGGGUGAGUAAUGUCUGGGAAACUGCCUGAUCGAGGGGGCUAACUACUGGAAACGGUAGCUAAUACUGCAUACCAUCAGAUGUGCCCAGAUGGGAUUAGCUAGUUGGUGGGGUAACGGCUCACCAAGGCGACGAUCCCUAGCUGGUCUGCGAGGCUGACCAGCCACACUGGAACUGAGACACGGUCCAGACUCCUACGGGAGGCAGCAGUGGGGAAUAUUGCACAAUGGGCGAAAGCCUGAUGGAGCCAUGCCGCGUGUAUGAAGAAGGCCUUCGGGUUGUAAAGUACUUUCAGCGGGGAGGCGUUACCCGCAGAAGAAGCACCGGCUAACUCCGUGCCAGCAGCCGCGGUAAUUC
rnacentral:rRNA from 1 species